GUGGUCAAUGUACCUAAAACCCGAAUAACCUUCUGUAAGAAAUGUGGCAAGCAUCAACCUCACAAAGUGACGCAGUAUAAGAAGGGCAAGGAUUCCUUGUAUGCCCAGGGAAAGAGGCGCUAUGAUCAGAAGCAGAGUGGCUAUGGUAGGCAGACAAAGCCAAUUUUCCAGAAGAAGGCUAAGACCACAAAGAAGAUUGUGCUAAGGCUGGAAUGUGUUGAAUCUAACUGCAGAUUCAGGAGGAUGCUGACCAUUAAGAGAUACAAGCAUUUUAAACUGGGAGGAGAUAAGAAGAGAAAGGGACAAGUGAUCCAGUUCUAA
rnacentral:lncRNA from 1 species